rnacentral:lncRNA from 10 species
GCAGAGGAGGCGCCAAGAGCGAGCGAGGGCUGUGAGGACUGCCAGCACGCUGUCACCUCUCAGUACCACCAAUAUCAUGAUUAUUGAAUGAGGUUGCCUUGAUAAUUCUGCUGAUCUUGCCUGGCUUUACUAAUGUGCCUGAGGUUGUCUAGAAGAUGAAAUGGAAUGGGUGGAUUUGGUGGAAUAGGUGGAUUCGGUGGAAUGGAUGGAUUCAGUGGAAUGGGUGGAAUAGGAAGACGAAGGCUGGAGUUGGAUAAUGAUCCUUCUAUUAUGAGCUUUGCAUUCAGCACCACUGACAAAUCAUAAAAGAGGGAAGAAACUACAGACGCACAAGAACAGAUGAAAAAAAGGACAAUUCUGGGACAUGGACUCUCGGUACAGAUUGCCCAAGACAUCUCACAUGACCAAGCAAUGGGACAUGUCUCUUCUUACCUCAUGAAAC